UAUAUAAAGUCUAACCUGCCCACUGAAAUUUAAAGGGCCGCGGUAUAUUGACCGUGCGAAGGUAGCAUAAUCAUUAGUCUUUUAAUUGAAGGCUAGAAUGAAUGGUUGAACAAAAAAUAGUCUGUCUCAAUGCUAAAAUUAGAAAUUAACUUUUAAGUGAAAAGGCUUAAAUUUAACAGAGGGACGAUAAGACCCUAUAAAGCUUUAUAUUAAAAUAAAUAAAUAAUAAGAAUUAAAAAUUAUUAAUUUAGAAAAUAUUAUGUUGGGGCGACAAAAAUAUAAAUUGUAACUGUUAAAAAGUAAAGACUAUAAAUAAAAGGUUAAUGAUGAUCUUUUAUUAAGGAUUAAAAGAUUAAGUUACUUUAGGGAUAACAGCGUAAUCUUUUUUGAGAGUUCUUAUCGACAAAAAGACUUGCGACCUCGAUGUUGAAUUAAGAAGUCCUUUUGGUGUAGCAGCUAAAUAGGAAGGUCUGUUCGACCUUUA
rnacentral:rRNA from 1 species